CCCAGCGCAGGGCCGCCUUGGGUGCUUGCAUAGGCCGGACCCGGGGAAGGGCAGCCGCCUUCCAGCUCCCUCGCGUUUUCGCCGAGGCGCGCCCUGUAGCAAGACACGUGGAGGAAGGAACUUCUCAAGCUGAACUGCGAGGGUUUGCUGCGGCGGCUGCUCGCCGGCUUCCAGGGAGCAGAAUGCAGAAAAAGAAGGCAAGAGAGGGAUGUGCUGGGAGUUUUCCGUGGCAAAGUCAAGAGGCACAGCAGAGCACCGGUGGAGGGCUGGGGAGAGAUCUUGGCAGCUGUGGAGCAUCAUCCCGACAGCACAUGACCCCCACACUGGAGAGGAUGGGACCUCACCACCAGGACAUUCGGUCGGUCUGUCUGUCUUUUGAGCGCUGAUGAAGAUGGAAGGACCAGCUGCAUUGGACCGGUAGUCAAGAAUUUGUUUUCCCAUCAUGGCGGAAUAGUUUAAAAGCCCCAGGGAACCCAGGACACAAGGGACAGUGGCCUGUAAAGCACUUGGUACAUUUGCUUUGCUAGCUGUGUCCGUGACUUUUCAACACCACCCUUGAGCCAUUUCGAUGGCCCCAUUGGCUCGUCAGUUGCUUUCGUAUAACCAUCUCUGGCCAUUCCUUUGUUGAGUGAUAGUUACAGAUUGUUUCCAUUAAAAAGAAAUCUGUAAGCAAUAUGCAAACCAUGCACUCUAACACAGAGUAAAAUGCUGCCUAAAACUUUAAAAAAGCAUAACAGCAGCACACUAAUAUGUCGUGAGCAGAGCUGGCUGGAGCCAGAGACCCCUUCUGACUCGCUCUGUUUCUGUGUUCAAAAUAUUAAUGUUACUAUGUCAGUCUUCAGGUUACAAUACGGUUUUCUUAGAGGAAGAUGAAAAUAAGAUUAAUUUCAGGGAUUGUCUGUAAGUUUAUCAAUAAGUCAAUCGGAGCUUACAUCUGUAACUGGUUGUAAACGUGGAAAUUUAAACUCCAAUUGGACCCCUGAAAUAAUGCGGUGUUCCAGUCAGAUUCAUACUGGAGUGAUUCAGAGUCAAAUCCCCCUCGUUCACGAACUCAUCGGGUGACCCUGAGCAAGUCCCAGUCUCAGCUUCAUCUACCUCACAGAGUUGUUGUGAGAAUAAAAUGGCAAGGGAUAAGCCAAGUAUAUUCCCCUGGGCUCCUUAGAGAAAGGGCAAAAUUCCAGUGCAAGAAAUAAAGCAGCCCUUCAGUUAAGUUUUUCAAAAUCUGUUUAUUCUAUUUAUGAAGCCAUAAAAUCCCUCAGAACACCAAAGUGGAAUAAUCGCUCAGCAAUAAACACACAGGAAUUACAAACUGUAUUUAUACCUCUUGCUAACUUGGAAAACCCUCCAGACAAAGCCCGUGGUGGGGAAGAACAGACAAAACUAGGCCAGCUCCUUUGCAGCUGCAGCAGAACUGAAGCCGGCUGAGGGGCUGACGCUGGCCGGGUACCGUGUAGCCCACCCUGCCUCAACCUUAUGCCUUUCCGACAUGUUUGGACUGCAGCACCCAGAAUUCCCAGUCAGUGGCCCUGCUGGAUGGGAAUUCUGGGAGUUGUGCGGCGAAUGCCUCUGAAGGCCACCAGGUUGGGGAGGGCUGGUGCAGAUAAUCCCUGAUCCGUGUACUCACAAAUCCUGCAUCUGGAGACUGGGCUCAAGCCACGUUCUCCUCCCGGUCUCAACAUUUUGUCCCUACCAGAGUAAAAUUAGCACAGACUUUCUCAACAUGCCCCUGCAGAUGUUUUGGAUUACAGUGCCCUUCAGCCCCCACCCCCAUGGUCAUGGGCAAUAUGAUUUGCAGUCCUAAACAUCAGGAGGAUUCAGGUUGAGGAACAGAAUAAAUGAACGAUUACUUUAAGCACUAUCUUAGGUGAAAAUCAGAGUUGCUUGAAAUUGCACUUUUUCUCUUCUGUGGGAAGAAUUUGCAAGUAUCUUCGGAGCCAAAGACUGCUGAAAAGUGAAUGGAAAGCAUCAUGGGUCUUGCCAAAAGGUUUGCAUGCCUUUUCCAGUCCAGGGAUUCAUUUUCCUCACAGAUCUUUCUCCUAGGAAAAACGUGACUGCGCAGAAAUAAACACUCUUGGCCCCAAGUCAGGGCACGCCUGGGCUCGUUUCCUCAGUCGCUGGCUCAGGGUGAUUCCAAAGCACGCUUUCUUGUUAGGACACAUCCAAUGGAGGGUUGUGGCUCUGCACCUUUAAGUUGCCACAUGGGGAAGAACCAUGGACACCAGGGCGAUCAGACCACAGGUGAUCAAGAGAGGCCAGGUCAUGUCUGGAUUCAGACGCAGGGCAGAGUAGCCUCUCUUGCGGGACACGGUGAACAGCUUCCUUGUUCCUUCUUUCACCUUCAGCUGUGACCACAAGAACUUCAGCUUAGUGGGCGGGAAAAAUUUGGCCCCAAACAGGUUGCAUUUCGGAAGGAAGAAGUGGGCCAGGUGUGCUGUGCCCACCUCAUGAAUGAAAUUGGCCAAGACCCUCUCGAAACACUCCAUGACGUCGGAGGGUUUCCAGUCUGCAUCAGCCUUCCAUUCCCAGAGAGUAUGCAGGAAGGAGGUCCAGGUGUGGUAGGAACUCAGGUGAGCCAACAUGUGGGGGUGUUCCACCCUGAGGGCCUCCAGAAGGUCUUGCAGCAUCUUCAGGCAGUCUUUCCUGGAACAGACACACAAAAAUAUCCUCAGCCCAUCAAGACUUUCCAAAAAAUCAGGGAUGUUUAUCAAGUAAAAAUGCGUUGACUGACUGAACUUUAUUUGUUUAUCUUUCCAUUUAUAUGUUGCCUGCCACCCUCGGGGUAUUGGUCAGUUGGUGCUCUUUACUGAAAACUCUUUUGAAGCUAAGCACUUGUGUACAAUGCAGGUGGCAAGAACUUUAGAAGAGGCAUCUCUUCAGGUGUGACUAAAGGAUUAACUCAGACUUCCCCAACCUGGUGCCUUCUAGGGACUGCAACUCC